CGGGUCGGACGGGUAAGUGGUAAUUGGGGAUUCGUCUCCGAUGCGGGGGAUAACUACUGGAAACGGUAGCUAAUACCGCAUAAUGUCUGCGGACCAAAGCGGGGGACCUCCGGGCCUCGCGCCAUCAGAUGAACCCAUAUGGGAUUAGCUAGUAGGUAAGGUAACGGCUUACCUAGGCGACGAUCCCUAGCUGGUCUGAGAGGAUGAUCAGCCACACUGGGACUGAGACACGGCCCAG
rnacentral:rRNA from 1 species